rnacentral:lncRNA from 1 species
UGAAAUGCAAAUCACAGCUGUGUAAAGAGGUGGGAUUACAAUUCAAUUUCCCAUUACUUUCCCAAGUGUUCUGUAGAUAUUAAUUUCUGAUUUAAGGUUAUAUAAAUAAAAGUAUGUAUAAAAUGUCUUCCCGAUUAGAGAAGAAGUUUUGCAUUGACUGUUUAGUUACAUCAUAUAAAACGUACUUUGGUGGGCCUAACCAUUCUAUUACAGGUCUGAUGCUUAAAGUACAUUUUCAGUUAGCAUCUAUAAAAAAAAAAAAACAACAAUAAGAAAACAGAAGGGCUGCAGCAAAGCUGUCUGCAGUCAGUCUUAAAAUUUUCAUUCCAGUGAUGAAAAUAAGCAGUUAUAAAAAGUAUUUACAGCAGUAUUCAGCUAAAAUGGGAAUAAUAAAAACACCAUAGAGAAGAAAUGUGAUUGUUACUUCAUGGUUUCACCACAGAACAAGGAAUCAUUAUGGAUGCAUAUCUAAGGAGAUAGUGCUAGAAUUAACAUUUCUGAGUAAGGAAACUGAGUCUGAUGGAAUUAUUUUCAAAGAUCUCACAGAUAUUAACAGAACUAGAGUUCAAAACCAAGAUUUCUGGCUCCAGUGCCAGCACUCCAGGACUGCAUGUUCAAGUAUCUCUCAUGACCAAGGACAUGUGUCUGUCCUAUAUUGAGGGUAGAAUAUAUACAGUUUAAUUUCAAAUAAAUAAAUAAAUAAAAGACGAUCUUUGUGUCGCAGAAUAGUUUAAUUUUUUUAAGACUAUAACUUUUAACAAGUCAGCUAACUGUGGAAAAACCAUCAAAUUAUUUAAGAAGUAAAGUCAUUUCACUAUAAAAAGACUUCUUACUGUGUAUAUUGGCUUCCACUGGAUAGUUUGAAUGCUAAUGAAACACGUGAAAGAUUUCCUAUCACUUGUUAUGAGAUUUCUUCUUCCUCACAGAUUCUUAGGCAUGCUGAUGAAAACAGAAGGUCUCAUCAUUGGGAUUAGUCCCUUAGAAAGUACAAUUGUGACGCAAAGUUAACAAAAGCCAAAUGUUUUCUCAAGUAAAUUUACUGACUACAUCUACUACCUCAAUACCACCUAAUCCACAUUGUUGUCUAUGCUUUCACAGUACAGUACCAUGUGGUUUAGGAGACUUCUUAUACCAAAGUGCUAUGUGAUUUAUCCUUGCUAACAAUAAAAACUUCUUAGUGCUACUACAAGCAAUUGCUAGAAACUUCCUACUGGACGCAUGAGAACUUCAUGGGGGAAAUGAGAAGAUGUUAAUUUUCAAUCUCAUGUAGAGUCAUCAUUCAGUGAAUGAUGUGAAUGAUUCAUACUAUUGACAUGAAUUAUGAUUAAAAAAAACGUAGUUCUGGGAAAUACACCGUACCACUCUACACCAUACCAUCAUCCCCAACUCUGUGCUUUUAAAUAAGAAAGCUCCAUGUAAAAUAUCAGCAUGUAUGUGUAUAACUAUGCUAAAAAUAGUCUUAUACUGGGUUUUUUUUUCAUGAAAUGUAUGUUUGUUAGACCAAGGUUUCAUUUUAAAUAUGCUUCAUAUGGUCAGUUUUUAAUUCUAAGGGAAAUGUUCUAUCACUGUGAGUUUCCAAGUUGUACAAACAUUGCGACAGCAACAAUAGAGAAGCAAAUUGUUGAUCAGAGUAAAAAAUAAGAUGCCAUGUAAUGCCCGCCUAUGGACAGAAGACCAAGGAAGGCCCAUGCUUCAAAGUGUCCCAUGACUAGAAAGUUUGGGUUUUCAGUCUUUUUUUUAUUGACAGUCACCUUUCCCCUCAGUUUAAUGAGACAAAGCCUUGCUUGUAGCCUGUGAUAACCUUGAGUUCACAAACCUCCUGUCUGAACCCCACACAUGAGUAUUACAGGAGUGCACCUCUAUUCUGAAUUGGAAGUGUCAGGUUCCUCACAUUUAGAUGUGUUUGUGGCUGUUCCUUCCUCCAAAAUCAUAAUCCAUUCCUUCAUACAAUAUUGACGGACAGUGGUUAACUCUCAUUAGAAAUAUAGUUAAUGCCUUUGCCACUGCCAGGAAACAUUCAUGUAGUAGGCUUACAGGCUCUAGUAUAUGGAAAGGAAGGCAUGAAGAAGAGUCACUGUUCACUUCAGGUGAAGUUUUUUGUAGAGUCAAGGCCACACAUUUAAGGCAAAAGUUCAAAGCCUUCUAAGUGCAGAUCCCUACAGAUGUUCUCAGAUGUUUAUUUCCAGCACUGUCCCAUGAACUCACUUUGAACUCAGUGUCUGUCUGUCUGUCUGCCUGGGAUCUACACUCUAAAACCCAUAUUAUCUCCCCUAUCCCUUUUCCUGUUUUCAUGAAUCUCACUUUCCCAAAGAGUAAAGUUAUAGAAAUAUCUUCCUAGAGGCUAUAUCCAAAAACAAACCCGCUCUAAAAUCCAAGCAGGAGCAAGAUAGUGCAGAAUAAAAUGACCAUUACAAAAUUAGUGCCCUGGGAAUGUGUAGAGUCACUAUGCCAGUCAAUACCAAUCUAUUGUGUGUAAAGUUGCACCCAGGUUUGGUUUAACAAGUCAGCAACACCUAGAAUUAGUAAGACUUCAGCGAGAAGAUUGAUUGGAGUUCGAAACCAGCUUGAGUUAUAUAGUGAAAUAAAAACCAGUCUGAGAUGUACAGUCAGACACUUUCUGACUCAAAAGCAGAGUAGGAGACAGAGCACUGGCUCAGUGAGUAAAGCAUUUGACCAACAAGUUUGGCAUCUUGACUUCAAUCCCCAGAUCUCACUUAAAAACAGAAGGAAAGCUCAAAUUUCUCCUCUGACAUCCACACACUGUGGCAUGCCCCUCCAUAAGAAAUAAUGAUAACAGUUUUCAACUUAAUAAAAUACUAAAUUUAAAUUGUUUUGGAAAAGUUUUUGCUAUG